ensembl:lncRNA
GGCUGGGGAGGGGUCGGGGCGCCGCAGAGUCAGCCAAGUGGCCACCGAGGGGCCGCUCCCCACCGCGACGGGCCUCGCCGCCCCCCUUCCGCGCGCGCGCACGCACACACACACACACACACACACACACUCACUCACACACGCACGCACUCACUCACUCACACUCACGCCGCGCUCCGCCGCCGCCUCACCUCUCGCUCCGCCCGGCCGGCCCCUUCCCUGCCCCCUGCGGGACCGGCCUGCUCGCAGCGCUGGAACCACGUAGGAGGCGGCGGCGGCGGCGGCCGCGGGAGUGGCGGAGUCUCCGGCCCGGCCCAGAGUGAGCGAGCAGCGGGGCUCCAGGGCGCAUCCCAAUCCCCGCAGCGCCUCCUCCGCCGCCGCCGCCUCCUCCUUCCCCUCCUCCUGGCUUCAUUCACCCUCCCAGCAGCCGCGCAGCCGCUCACUCCCGGCGCCGGCGGGGCAGCGCCCGCCGCCGCUCCUCCGCUCCUGCCGCGCGGGCGCUGGCGGGGGCGCCGGCUCCGGGCUGGGGCGCUCGCGGGCUCGCGGCUCCGGGCGGCGGCCGCCGCACAUGAUCAGGAAGCGGCCGCACCAACAGGGCGGCGGUGGCGGCGGCGGCGGCGGCGGCGGCGGCGGCAGCAGGGCCGCCGCCGCCACUCCAGCCGCGCGCCCGGCACCCGCGCGUCGGCUUCCCCCCGCGCCCACCCCUCCGCGCCCCCCGCGCUCCCACCGCCCGGCGCCCGGCCGCGCGCAGAGUCCCGGCCCGUAGCCGCGCACCCGGCGAGGCCAGCCUCCGCCAGGGAGACCCCCCGCCCCGGGCUCCGAGGCCCGGGCGGCCACCCGCGGCGGGGGAGGGGGGAGCCCAACCCUCCUGCAGACCCACUCGCUCCGCCGCCCUCCGAGGGGAGAGGGCUGGGGAGGGUGCGGCGGGAGAGGAGGGCAGCGCGACCCCCGGCCGCCGCCGCCGCCGCCUACCCCUACGCCACCUCGAGGGAGGGGGACACGGUUCUCCGCACUCGCGGCCGGACCAGCAGCCGCCGGAGCGGGGCGCCGCCGCCGCUCUCCCCGCCCGCGCCCGCGCCCGCACCCCCAACCCGGGCGCGCCCCCUCGCCUGGCGGGCGCCCACCGGCCCGGCAGCCCCCUGCCGUCAGUCCCUGCGCCCCGAGCGGGGGUGUCGGCCCGGGAGGCUGGAGCGGGAGAAGGUUGUAUGUACACACACACACCACACACACACACACACACACAACACAACACAACACGACGCGUCGAUUUCCCUUCGCUCCUCUUCCAGCUGUUUUCUGUGCCGGCGACUGGGGUUUGGGGUUUGUUUGCUGGUUGUUGCUUUUGCCCCUCUCGGGAGAGCAGCGGCGCGCCGGGAAUCGUCCAAGAGGACUAACUCGGAUCGCCGUGCACGUUAGCCCUCCAAGCCGGUUUCGUUCCGGAACCAGGACCACGGGGCUGCGGGGAUUGCCUCGGCGUGCAACUCAGGAAAGUUUGAAGGGUCCCCUCCCCCGCAUGUGCACCGUCACCUUCCCUGCCAGGGAAAGCGGGUGCCCUCCCUGCCACCCCCCCUCCCCCCCCACACACACACCGCCACCUCCUCUUCGUUUUCUGCAGGUCUGCAAAUCUGCCCUGGGUACUGGAGUACCCAGCUCCCGCCUUGGAAGACGACCCGCGCGCUCCACUCGCAGCUAAUUCGGGAUCAUUAAUUUAAUCGGAAAUGAGGUAACCAGCGCAGGAGAUACAGAAAGCAAACCGAGCAUCAAAUGGCAGUUCUGGUGAAUCCACGCUGAAGAACUUCCUCUGCGCUCAAUUUUCAAGCGCGGUUCUCAACUGCCCACCACCCCGCCCCCUCCGCGUGUACCACCGCUGGGUGCUAGCAUCCCGGGGAGGAAAUCUUAUGUGGAAGGGUGCGCCUUGCCAACAGGUGUGGCACCUGGAGGAAGAGAAGGCACAUCCAUGCGGAAGGGAGCUCGGUGCGGCGUUCUCCCUGCUGCAGAUAAUUCUGGAAGACCAGUAGGUGUCGGGGCAGCAUUUGACCUCUUUCAGGUGCUUAGAACCAAGUGUCUAGAAACACGAUCUUUCCACGUAAGUUUCUCUCUGCAAGCCACCACUAUUGACUGUGAGCUGUAUCUGAGAAACCUUUGGCUGAGUUUGCUUAUGACCUAACGGUUAGUCACCAACCGAAGCAGGGUACAGAAUUACCCAGAGAAAUGUGUCAGCUUUGAAACAACUGUAUCGUAGAGCCAACGUGCUCCAGAAAUAAAAAAUAAGCCUGCUAACA